AGCUCAAUUGGUUGGAUAGAGCAUUUGACUACAAAUCAAAAAACUAAAGGUUCAACUCCUCUUA
rnacentral:tRNA from 1 species